GCCACAGACGCAAAUUCAACCAUUGCUUCAUUAUAGCCACAGAGCCCGCGCAUAGUACAGCUAAUUUCGGCCGCUGAAAUGUAGCUAUUGAAUAGUGA
rnacentral:lncRNA from 1 species